UACGAAGGGGGGCGAGCGUUGUUCGGAAUUACUGGGCGUAAAGGGCGCGCAGGCGGCCCUUGAAGUCAGGCGUGAAAGCCCCGGGCUCAACCUGGGAGGUGCGCUUGAUACUCGAGGGCUUGAGUGCGGGAGAGGAGAGUGGAAUUCCCAGUGUAGAGGUGAAAUUCGUAGAUAUUGGGAAGAACACCGGUGGCGAAGGCGGCUCUCUGGACCACAACUGACGCUGAGGCGCGAAAGCUAGGGGAGCAAACAGGG
rnacentral:rRNA from 1 species